rnacentral:rRNA from 1 species
AUUGAACGCUGGCGGCAUGCUUUACACAUGCAAGUCGAACGGUAACAGGGAGCUUGCUCCGCUGACGAGUGGCGAACGGGUGAGUAAUAUAUCGGAACGUACCCAAGAGUGGGGGAUAACGUAGCGAAAGUUACGCUAAUACCGCAUACGAUCUAAGGAUGAAAGCAGGGGAUCUUCGGACCUUGUGCUCCUGGAGCGGCCGAUAUCUGAUUAGCUAGUUGGUGAGGUAAAGGCUCACCAAGGCGACGAUCAGUAGCUGGUCUGAGAGGACGACCAGCCACACUGGAACUGAGACACGGUCCAGACUCCUACGGGAGGCAGCAGUGGGGAAUUUUGGACAACGGGCGCAAGCCUGAUCCAGCAAUGCCGCGUGAGUGAAGAAGGCCUUCGGGUUGUAAAGCUCUUUUGUCAGGGAAGAAACGGGAGUGGCUAAUAUCUGGGGCUAAUGACGGUACCGUAAGAAUAAGCACCGGCUAACUACGUGCCAGCAGCCGCAGUAAUAC